UUUGGUUAAGUUAGAAAGGGCGCACGGUGGAUGCCUUGACACUAGGAGUCGAUGAAGGACGGGACUAACGCCGAUAUGCUUCGGGGAGCUGUAAGUAAGCUUUGAUCCGAAGAUUUCCGAAUGGGGAAACCCACCAUACGUAAUGGUAUGGUAUCCUUGCCUGAAUACAUAGGGUAAGGAAGACAGACCCAGGGAACUGAAACAUCUAAGUACCUGGAGGAAGAGAAAGCAAAUGCGAUUUCCUGAGUAGCGGCGAGCGAAACGGAACAUAGCCCAAACCAAGAGGCUUGCCUCUUGGGGUUGUAGGACAUUCUAUACGGAGUUACAAAGGAACGAGGUAGACGAAGCGACCUGGAAAGGUCCGUCGUAGAGGGUAACAACCCCGUAGUCGAAACUUCGUUCUCUCUUGAAUGUAUCCUGAGUACGGCGGAACACGUGAAAUUCCGUCGGAAUCUGGGAGGACCAUCUCCCAAGGCUAAAUACUCCCUAGUGAUCGAUAGUGAACCAGUACCGUGAGGGAAAGGUGAAAAGCACCCCGGAAGGGGAGUGAAAGAGAUCCUGAAACCGUGUGCCUACAAAUAGUCAGAGCCCGUUAAUGGGUGAUGGCGUGCCUUUUGUAGAAUGAACCGGCGAGUUACGAUCCCGUGCGAGGUUAAGCUGAAGAGGCGGAGCCGCAGCGAAAGCGAGUCUGAAUAGGGCGUUUAGUACGUGGUCGUAGACCCGAAACCAGGUGAUCUACCCAUGUCCAGGGUGAAGUUCAGGUAACACUGAAUGGAGGCCCGAACCCACGCACGUUGAAAAGUGCGGGGAUGAGGUGUGGGUAGCGGAGAAAUUCCAAUCGAACCUGGAGAUAGCUGGUUCUCCCCGAAAUAGCUUUAGGGCUAGCCUUAAGUGUAAGAGUCUUGGAGGUAGAGCACUGAUUGAACUAGGGGUCCUCAUCGGAUUACCGAAUUCAGUCAAACUCCGAAUGCCAAUGACUUAUCCUUAGGAGUCAGACUGCGAGUGAUAAGAUCCGUAGUCAAGAGGGAAACAGCCCAGAUCGCCAGCUAAGGUCCCAAAGUGUGUAUUAAGUGGAAAAGGAUGUGGAGUUGCUUAGACAACUAGGAUGUUGGCUUAGAAGCAGCCACCAUUUAAAGAGUGCGUAAUAGCUCACUAGUCGAGUGACUCUGCGCCGAAAAUGUACCGGGGCUAAAUACACCACCGAAGCUGCGAAUUGAUACCAAUGGUAUCAGUGGUAGGGGAGCGUUCUAAGUGCAGUGAAGUCAGACCGGAAGGACUGGUGGAGCGCUUAGAAGUGAGAAUGCCGGUAUGAGUAGCGAAAGACGGGUGAGAAUCCCGUCCACCGAAUGCCUAAGGUUUCCUGAGGAAGGCUCGUCCGCUCAGGGUUAGUCAGGACCUAAGCCGAGGCCGACAGGCGUAGGCGAUGGACAACAGGUUGAUAUUCCUGUACCACCUCUUUAUCGUUUGAGCAAUGGAGGGACGCAGAAGGAUAGAAGAAGCGUGCGAUUGGUUGUGCACGUCCAAGCAGUUAGGCUGAUAAGUAGGCAAAUCCGCUUAUCGUGAAGGCUGAGCUGUGAUGGGGAAGCUCCUUAUGGAGCGAAGUCUUUGAUUCCCCGCUGCCAAGAAAAGCUUCUAGCGAGAUAAAAGGUGCCUGUACCGCAAACCGACACAGGUAGGCGAGGAGAGAAUCCUAAGGUGUGCGAGAGAACUCUGGUUAAGGAACUCGGCAAAAUGACCCCGUAACUUCGGGAGAAGGGGUGCUUUCUUAACGGAAAGCCGCAGUGAAUAGGCCCAAGCGACUGUUUAGCAAAAACACAGGUCUCUGCGAAGCCGUAAGGCGAAGUAUAGGGGCUGACACCUGCCCGGUGCUGGAAGGUUAAGGAGAGGGGUUAGCGUAAGCGAAGCUCUGAACUGAAGCCCCAGUAAACGGCGGCCGUAACUAUAACGGUCCUAAGGUAGCGAAAUUCCUUGUCGGGUAAGUUCCGACCCGCACGAAAGGUGUAACGAUUUGGGCACUGUCUCAACCAGAGACUCGGUGAAAUUAUAGUACCUGUGAAGAUGCAGGUUACCCGCGACAGGACGGAAAGACCCCGUGGAGCUUUACUGUAGCCUGAUAUUGAAUUUUGGUACAUUUUGUACAGGAUAGGCGGGAGCCAUUGAAACCGGAGCGCUAGCU
rnacentral:rRNA from 1 species